CCUACGGGAGGCAGCAGUGGGGAAUAUUGCACAAUGGGGGAAACCCUGAUGCAGCGACGCCGCGUGAGUGAAGAAGUAUUUCGGUAUGUAAAGCUCUAUCAGCAGGGAAGAAAGGAAUGACGGUACCUGACUAAGAAGCCCCGGCUAACUACGUGCCAGCAGCCGCGUUAAUACGUAGGGGGCAAGCGUUAUCCGGAUUUACUGGGUGUAAAGGGCGCGUAGACGGUUAUGCAAGUCUGGAGUGAAAGGCUGGGGCCCAACCCCCGGACUGCAUUGGAAACUGUAUAACUGGAGUGCAGGAGAGGUAAGUGGAAUUCCAAGUGUAGCGGUGAAAUGCGUAGAGAUUAGGAGGAACACCAGUGGCGAAGGCGGCUUACUGGACUGUAACUGACGUUGAGGGUCGAAAGCGUGGGGAGCAAACAGGAUUAGAUACCCGUGUAGUC
rnacentral:rRNA from 1 species